rnacentral:rRNA from 1 species
UACGUAGGGGGCAAGCGCUAUCCGGAUUUACUGGGUGUAAAGGGAGCGCAGACGGCUGUGCAAGUCUGGAGUGAAAGGCGGGGGCUCAACCCCCGGACUGCUCUGGAAACUGUAAAGCUGGAGUGCAGGAGAGGUAAGCGGAAUUCCUAGUGUAGCGGUGAAAUGCGUAGAUAUUAGGAGGAACACCAGUGGCGAAGGCGGCUUACUGGACUGCAACUGACGUUGAGGCUCGAAAGCGUGGGGAGCAAACAGG